AGGUAUGAGGAGGACGAAUACAAGAAGAAGCCUGGUGGUGGUGGAAGGUAUGAGGAAGAAGAUGGCUACAAGAAGAAGCCAAGCAGCGGUGGCUAUGGAGGAGGAAAGUACGAGGAUGAAGAUGACUACAGGAAGAAGCCAAGCAGUGGUGGCUAUGGUGGGGGAAGGUACGAGGAUGAAGACGAUUACAAGAAGAAGCCCACAAGUGGUGGCUAUGGUGGGGGGAGAUAUGAGCAAGAAGAUGAUUACAAGAAGAAGCCUACAAGUGGCGGCUAUGGUGGCGGGAGGUAUGAGCAGCAGGAUGAAUAUAAGAGGCCUCCUAGCGGUGGUGGCAGUAGCUAUGGGGGAGGCAGGUAUGAAGAAGAUGAUGAGUAUAGGAAGAAGCCGAGUGGGAGCUAUGGUGGAGGAAGGUAUGAGGACGAAGAUGAUUAUAGGAAGAAACCUAGUGCUGGUCAUGGUGGAGGGAGGUAUGAGGAAGAUGAUGAGUACAAGAAGCCCAGUGGUGGCGGAUAUGGUUAUGGGGCUUCCAGUGGUGGAGGCCAUGGAGGAAGGUACGAAGAAGAGGACUACAAGAAGAAGCCUAGUGGACACUCAGGGGGAUGCUAUGAGGAAGAGGAGGGGUACAAG
rnacentral:lncRNA from 1 species